AUUAAGUUUAUUUUUUAAUUUUUAGAUACAAUGUUUUGACUCUUCGUCUUAUUUAAAUUUUUUUGUGAUUAAUAUUUUUAUGGUUACUCGAUGUUAAAACAUGAAUAUUACACGUGACUAAUUUUUUAAAGUUUUUUUACAAAUUUUUUAAAUAAGACAAAUGGUUAAACUUUGGACAUAUAAAUCGAAAAAUGAAAUUAUU
rnacentral:pre_miRNA from 1 species